rnacentral:lncRNA from 1 species
AUUUAGUUUUUUUUAUUUUUUUAUUUUAAUCCUUUUUAAUUUAUUUUAGUUUAUAUAUUUAAAUUAGUAUUGAAAUAACAAUUAGUUAGUAAGUGAUCUGGUGGAGAGGAGUGUUUUCUAUGUCUUUAGUGUAGUGGGUUCAAUACCCCUAUGUGUAGUUUUUUCUUUUAACAUUUUCUUUAUGUUUAUGCUUUAUUACUCAUAGUUU